rnacentral:rRNA from 1 species
GUGUCAGCCGCCGCGGUAAGACAGAAGGUGCAAGCGUUACUCGGAAUUACUGGGCGUAAAGCGUCUGUAGGCGUUUUCCCACGUCGGAUGUGAAAUCCCGGAGCUCAACUCCGGACCCGUGUUCGAUACGAGGAAAAUUGAGUUACUCAGAGGCAUCUGGAAUGUCGUGUGUAGGGGUAAAAUCCGUAGAUACACGAUGGAACGCCAAAAGCGAAGGCAGGAUGCUAGGGGUACACUGACGCUGAGAGACGAAAGCGUGGGGAGCAAAGGGGAUUAGAAACCCUCGUAGUCC